UGCCGAAGUUUUCCUCAGUAGUUAACUGCAGCUGUUUUUCUAAAACUUCGGCAGUUAACUACCGAAGGGUAU
rnacentral:pre_miRNA from 1 species